ensembl:lncRNA
CAUUUGCUCAGUAAAUAUCUGCUGAGUGAAUGAAUAGUCUGUUGAUAGAGAGAAGGAAGCACAGGUGCAUGAGGGGACAGUCUGGAUGAUGGGAUAGGGGCGUUUGAGGACUCACACGUGGAUGCAAAGUGAGAGGCAUGUCACCAACAUGGCAGAUGUUAGACUUAGGAUCCUGGAUUUAGGAUCAGGAUUCAAAACCAGGGCAAUGGUGAGACAAUGAAAGCUUUUGACUGGGCAAUUAGGAAUGAGAACCUAACCUGAGCUAGAGGGCUGACUGUAGGAGGGGAAACGAAGAGCCAGGUCUGGAAGAUUUUGAAGAUUUUAUAGGACCUAGUAACCUGAUGGAUUAGGAGAACACGUUGGAGUAUUAAUGCCGAAGUGAGCGAUGCUCUCAGGGAAAAGUUUACAGAAAAGAUGUAGAGCCAUCUUCAUAAUAAAUAUGUUUUGGUUGUAAUUCAGUUUUCAAAAACUUUUUUUUUUCCCAUUUAUAAAAACAAUGCAUUUUUACUGUAGAAAGUCUGGAAUAGGCAGAAAAAUAAAAAGAAAACUGAAGUGGUUUGUAAUCUGGCCAUCUAGAGAUAAUUGUUUCUAACACAUCGCCAACGGUCCCGUGCUCCUUUUCAGCACACACGUAUGUGUUCACCAUGUUAAUGUCUUGGUGUAAAAUUGUACACAUUCGCCCAAGUACACACGCCGCGUCUGCAACCUACACCACAGCUCACGGCAACGCCAGAUCGUUAACCCACUGUGCAAGGGCAGGGACCGAACCCGCAACCUCAUGGUUCCUAGUCGGAUUCGUUAACCACUGCGCCACGACGGGAACUCCCCCAUUACUUCUAAUUACUUCCUUAGAAGAGAUUCUGACACAAUGUGUCUGAUCACAUUUAAAGCUCUUAGGAUCUGUUUCGAAAUAGCUUUCCAGAAGGGCUGUACCAACUGCUACUCUUGCCCAGCAGGAUGUGAACUGAAGGUUACCUUAUAAAAACAUCUGCCAAUUUAAGAGUAGAAAUAGUCUUCGUCUUACUUAAGUUUGCCUCCCUUUCAUAUCCAGAGAUAAUGAUGUUUUCCCACUAAUCGGCCACUUACAUUUUUUCUUUUGUAAAGAAAGACCACAUCCCGAAUCAUGUCCCAUGUCCACGAUUUUAUUAGGAUGGUGAAGUUUCUUCUAGUUGAUUAGAGAGAUUUGUCUAUAUACUAGCACUUUGCCUAUCAUAUUUAUUUCAAAUAUUGUCCUAACAUGUUGCUUAACUUUUACACUUUUGAUAUGUUGAAAUUAUUUGCAGUUAAAUUUAUCAAUGCAGUUAAAUUCAUUAAUUUUUCUUCUGCAAUUUUUUCAUUGCAUUUAUACCUUAACAGAGUUUCCCCAAACUAACUUUUCGGCUAUAUUUUCUUCUUGAUUUUCGUGCUCUGUUUUCUGCAGUCAACUCUAUUAAUCAACUCUAUUAAACAAUGUGACAAAGCUCUCUGAACGAUGGGAAGAAUCCAUCUGUAAGUAGCAACAUGCCAAGGGUUUAGCUGUGUUCAUUUUUGAAGCAGAACCGUGGAUACACCAGGGCAUCUAUGAUUCAGAACUAGCACAGAAUCCCGUUGACCUUCUCGGCUUCAAGGUAACGUCCUCUUCAACAAUGAGAGGUGAUGCGGCAGGUGGCAGAAAAGGGAGAGCUUGCUUUCCUAAUAAAGCAAAUCUCCAGAGAAUGGGAAUGCUAAAAUGCAGACACUUUCUUCUCCAGUUGCUGAGAUCUGACUGCUCUGAAGAACAGACACUCACAGAGCUCCCAUGCCGGUCAAGGUCACCUGACGAUGGUGCACCUUGAGGUGGGGGCUGCACCUAAAGACUAGACAUCCCGUGGCACGCAGAUUCUCUUCCCACCUCCCCUUACUCUGAGGGCACGGGAAGAAGAAUCUGGCUCCAAGGGCAUUUCGGUGCAAGGAUUUUGCUGUGAGCGAAAAUCACCAUCAGGACAACAACGAGGGAAAACAAUCUGGCUCAGUGACAGAGGCAAACUUCGACAUACUGGACCAUUUUAACUGGACUGGGGAAUGGUGGGGUUGGGGCAUCAGUUCCCCCAGGAUCUGACACCUUUGCCACAGUACCAGGAAGGGUCUGUAUCCAUAAUACAUUACUGUCCCAGAGUAGAAGGAAUUCAGCCCAGAUGAACCCAGGAUAUGUACUUUUCCCAUAUAUAUUUCAUUUCAUCAACUUAAAAACCUUACUGGGAAGUUGUUUCCAGGGAGACGGCACUACCCGUGUGGGAAAUGAGGCACCAAGAUAGUAAGUGAGUUCUCAAGAUCUAGGUCUUCUGCUUCCCAGCUUUAAGUCCUUCCUUGACUAUUGUGGCACCUCAAAAAUACCACAGAGAAUCUGGGAUCGUUUUUAAAGCUCCGGAAUAGAAUAUUGUGACCCUGGAUAAGUCAUUCGACCUUCCUGGUUCUUUUCGCUUUUUUUUUUUUUUUUUACAAAAUAUCUAUAACACAAAAUUUAACAUUUUAACCAGUUCAGUGGUAUUAAGUAUAUUCACAUUGCUGUGUAACCACCACCACCAGCCAGCCACAGAACUCUUUUCAUCUUACAAAACUGAAACUCUGUACCCAUUAAACAAUAACUGCCCCCUGCCCACUCCUCCCAGCCUCUGGGGACCACAGUUCUAUCUUCUGUCUGAGUCUGACUUACUCUAGACAUUCAUAGAAAGUGGAAUCAGGCAAUAUUUGUCCGUUUGAUUGGUUUAUUUCACUCAGCAUUAGGUCUUUGAGUUUCACCCAUGGUGUAGCCUAUGCUAUGAUGUCUUUCCUUUUUUAAGGGUGAAUAAUUUUCCAUUGUUUGUACUAUGACAUUUGAUCUAUUCAUAUUGAUGGACAGUUGGGUUGCUUCCACCUUGUGGCUAGUGUGCAUAAUGUGGCUAUAAACACGGCUGUGCAAAUAUCUCUCUGUGCCCUUGCUUUCAGUUUUGGGGGGUAUGUAUCCAGAAAUGGAAUUGCUGGGGAUAUGGUAAAUUCUCUGUUUCAUGUUUUGAGGAAGCUCCAUCCUGGUUUCCAAAGUGGAUGCAGCAUUUUACAUCCCAACCAGCAGCGCACAACAGUGCCAGUUUUUCCACAUCCUCACUAACAUUUCCUCCUUGGUUUUUAAGUUAUUUACGUAUUUAUGCAUUCAGUAAAUACUUGCACAACUCCUGCCACACACCAGAUGCUGGGAAUACAAUGAGAAAUAAGACAGAUUCUGCCUGCCCCCCGAGAAGCCUGCAAUCUGACAUGGCAGAAGGAUGCUGAACACACAUCGGGUGGGAUAAACAUUUCUAAAAUAAGGGGAGUGAGCUGUCAGUCAGAGCCAUGAAGGGCUUUAUCCCAGAGGCUUUCUGGCUCUAGGUGCUAUGAGCACAGGAAAUUCACUUUCCUGAAGGUGCCUGAGUAAGUCAGGCAGCCACUGAAUAGAUUCUAAUGUGGCAUAGAGUCCAUACGCUUAAAAAUAUGUUCAAAGACAUGUGCAUUUGUGAAAACCAAAUCCUUUAUUAUCCUUAGCCAAACUAACUAACACUGCAUGUCAGAUGAGCCAGAGAACCUGAUUUAGAAUAUGAAAUGCUGGGAAUAGAGGCCACAAACUGGCAAACCUGAGAGCCAGACCCCAUGAUGUUUUAAAAGUUUGGAAUUAAAAAUGAGGAGGUUUCCCACGGGACUCUGAAUUUCUGGCUUCCCUGGGGGAAAACAAAAAACAAAAAACAAAAAAAAAGCAGAACACCUGACAGCACUAGGGUUACCGCAGGAUCAGGCUGGGCUGAGAGCAGCUCCGCCCAUUCUAGAAAAAACACAGCUGGCCUCAGGCCCCAUUGGGCCUCUUUCUCCAUUUUUCUUACAUUUUCGCUCCUAUAAGCCUCUGGUCUAGAGCUGUGCUGCUGUCCAGUACGGCAGCCACUAAUCGCGUGUAGCUACCAGACAGGAGAUGAAAGGUAUCUGAAUUUGAGGUGUGCUGCGAGCAUAAGAUACACACCAGGUGUCAAAAGACAAGAGGAAAAAAAUGGAACUUAUCCCAUGAAUUCUUUUAUAUUGACUACAUGUUGAAACGAUAAUUUUUUUUUACUUGUUUUAAUGGGUCCACUGGAGAUUUAAAAUGACACACGUGGCUCACUUUACAACAUGCCUUUCCCAGUAGAAAAAAAUGUCUAUAACUUUUCUCCCCAUAGGGAACUGCCAUGUGAAUUAUGCCACAUUAACUCUUUUUAAAGCGUAACCGGGUAUGCCCCGAACUGAGCAAGAAGCCAACCCCAAGGUGGAAGUAAUUGCUUGUUUACAUAAAUCACAGCGCACAUAAAAAAUCUGACGUUAUGGCUCUUCUAGCGCCUUAAAACACACGUAUCCCUCUCCAUACCAAACCACUGCUCUGAGACUUGAUUAGCAGUCCAACAGUGGACUCCUAUUUGCCUUGACCUAAGGUACUUCUGGUAACUCACCAGGUAAAUUGCUCAUAUUUGCUUCCGUCACUUAAUGCACUUUAAAAUUAAACCUAAUCCAUCCAUGCAAACCCUUCUCACAAUUCUUUUUGCAAAAGGCUUAAAGACUGUUGGCAUACUUAGCAUUUCAUAAAGGCCAUUAGUUUAUGAUUUUAUUGGAUAAACAGCUUUUUAAAGUCUUUUAACUUAAUUAAAUAAGCGACUGUUAAAAUUAAUUCCCAGCAGGCAUGGGACAAAAUGACUCUAAGCCAAGGCCAGGGGAAUCCUCCUAACUGACUUCUCUUUUUUUGGGCAAAGAUACCACCCACAUUCCUACUCUUUUCUCAUCAAGUAAGAUGCAUUAAAAUUAAGUGAUUCUGACUUUAGAUGCAGAGAAUACAUAGACAUGUAAGGAGAAACUCGGGCUUCCAGAUGUCACUCAACACACCAAGGAAAGUGAACAGUGAGGAAAUUAUGGGUCAAUGAGGGGACAACUGAAUGCGGAAAACACAAUUCGGAAGCAAAACUACACUCUGGAUGGCACCUUGCAGUGUGCACAUGCGCACUGACGCACUUGAGCUGGUAACCCCGCAAUCUCCCAUCCUUUUCCCCAGUGUAAGGACUACAGAAUUCCCUCGAGUGGUAGCCAACUUCAAUACUUCAAUAGAAGUUUAGCCUUUUUUGUCUUCCUUUUUUUUUUUUUUUUCCCCUGCUCUCCCUCCUUCUUCUCCAUGAAUUAUUUCUAUGGAAGGAUCACCCUACACAGGUCUGAUCUCGGGGAAGUCGAUGAUGAAAUGACAAUUCCCAGUGUGUGCACCAACGCCUCGUUUCCAGCACGUGUGAAGCAACCGCUUGCAGUUGUUUCCAUGUGGGUCAGAGGACAGGACAGGACAUGCUGUAUAAAAUGGGGAAGAGGACAGAUGACAUCCUGGCACAGAGCUGGUGAGGCCUGGCUGUUAGCAGAAAGUCUCAGCCAAUCAUGAGCGAGAAAACACAACCCACUAGUUUAUCACAAGCUGGAGGGGAAACUCUGUUAUCGUUUAAAAACUCUACCACUCUUCCAGAAUAAAAGUGUGGAAUAAACACGGUGUGUCAGGGCAUCCAUUGCUUACGAGUGGCUUGACAUCUUCAAAAAUACCUCAACUUUCCCAUCGCUUGAAUUUGGUUUUCUAAAAUCUAUAGGCUAAAGCAUAGUUACACCAAUGCAGCUUCUGUCUCUGCUGAAGCACUUGCCUAACUCCAGUUACCGACACUGAGCACUUAGAAUUCAGGGCAUCUUGCAGAUUAAAGGAAGCUUUAUAGAAAUCACAUUUAAUAUUAGUAGUGAUGCAGUUAGCAAGAUGAGUGCCUUGCACAUGGCAGGAACUCUGUUCAGUCUUCCCAUGCAUUUCAAUAAGAAUAAUGUUUAUGUCUCCCUAGGCAGGAGAGAGAAAUAUCGUCUGCACCUCUAAGCACCUACAAGCUCACUGAACGCGAAGCUAAGGAAGCACCCCAUUUCGUUCUGAGCUCAGCCAUCAGAAGAGCUGACUGUUUUCUGAAACACGAAGCUGGCAGGAACACAAGAACACCUUUGCGCUUCGUUUUAAAAAGAAGGCGUAUUCCCAGCUGCCUCCUCCCACCGGACACUCGGAAUAGAUUCUAAAGUUUGCUACCUUAAGGUUCCAACUGGCUCUCAUCCGUGCCCUCACCAGCUCGACAUCUGAGCCUUUGCCCACAACUCUAUCAGCAGUGCCACUACUGAGCGAGGCUGGAGGGGACUCCUGACUUUGAGUAGUAAGAGGUCCCAUGAACACACAGAAUUACCUGCAGCAAAACAGUACUCACUGGACCGGCUGGCGAUAGGCUUAACGUCCCCAAGAAUAUAAGUUACUCAGAUAUGAGUGUUUCAGAUGUAUGCAAUCAUGUUUUAAGGCAAUAUUCAGAAAUACCUUACUUCAUCAACCUAUCACACUAUAGUUACAUUGUAUGGAUAUGACAUGAUAUCCAUCUUUAAUUUGGAGGCAAGUCUCUAGACUCCCCAGACAAACAGGUACAGACUCAGAAAGAGCCAUCAUGCCAUCAAGGGUAAGCGCUGAUGUGCAUGAAUAUCGGCUUCUCAGAGCGCAUAGUCCCACCAGGCACAGGGGGCUUUCUCAUCAAAUGAAUUCAAUUCCAUGGUGAUCUGAACAGUCCAGAUUCAGUUUAAAACGCCUCACAUUUGAACCAUGGGCUCCCAUGGAAAUUACAUUUGAAAGUUAAACCUAACCUCAGGAUAGCAGCUUGCUCCUAGGGUUCUAAGGCAAUGUCUAUACUCUAAGGCUCCUGUGCCUGAGGCCAAGAAUUAAUUUCACACACAU